rnacentral:rRNA from 1 species
GAUGAACGCUCGCUCCAGGCUUAACACAUGCGAGUCGAGGGGAAACGACAUCGAAAGCUUGCUUUUGAUGGGCGUCGACCGGCGCACGGGUGAGUAACGCGUAUCCAACCUGCCCAUCACUUGGGAAUAACCUUGCGAAAGUAAGACUAAUACCCAAUGACAUCCCACGAAGACAUCUGAAUGGGAUUAAAGAUUUAUCGGUGAUGGAUGGGGAUGCGUCUGAUUAGCUUGUUGGCGGGGUAACGGCCCACCAAGGCAACGAUCAGUAGGGGUUCUGAGAGGAAGGUCCCCCACAUUGGAACUGAGACACGGUCCAAACUCCUACGGGGGGCAGCAGUGAGGAAUAUUGGUCAAUGGGCGAGAGCCUGAACCAGCCAAGUAGCGUGCAGGAUGACGGCCCUAUGGGUUGUAAACUGCUUUUAUAAGGGAAUAAAGUGGGUCUCGUGAGACUUUUUGCAUGUACCUUAUGAAUAAGGACCGGCUAAUUCCGUG